GGCAGAGUAGGAUACCUUGCGUAAAGUGCCGACUGGACGGGGAGUUGUCAGUUGGACGAAGGAUUUAUCCACGGUUUGGUGUCCGCAUCCCGCUGCU
rnacentral:ncRNA from 2 species